ACGAGACACAAAAAGUUGGAGGUUAAGCUCGGACUUUUAAUACGAGAAAAUGGUUUAUUGUGUUGUUGUUUUAAAAUAUCAGCUUCUGAAGGAAACAUUCUAGAGAAAGAAACUGAUCGUUUUCUUCUUAUAGACACUAGAGAAGUCGAAAAAUGGGACGAACAAGUAUGGAAGAACAGGAGGAAAUUGGGAUCAACCCGGAUUGACCCGCCUUACAACCUUGAAGAACGUCAUCGUAUAUUUUCCUGACCUGAGUUUCAAAUUUAGGUCAACUACAGAUUCAAACCCGCUUCAGCUGAAAGGAAGGAAUAGCUUAGAGCAGGGUGUCAAAUUUAUUUUAAUUUUAGAGCGCAUCAAGAUCUUAAUGUACGACAGAGGAUUAGGGCUACUGGGAAAAAAACAAAGGAUUUUGACUUUUCUCAGGUUAAAGUUGGAAUUCUGAGAAAAAAAGGUCAAGCUUUUAUCUUCAUUUCAACCAAAAAAUAAACAGAGUCACUUAUUUUCAAUAUCAGUUUAAAACUAAAAUUGUUAUCUCUUUUUUUCCAUCAAUGCUGAUCAACUAAAUUCCUCUGUACCCUCACAUGGGGAUCCACUCUGAUCAAAGCCUUGGCCUCGUCCCGUUGGCCCCAGAGCAGAGCGUCUAAAGCAGAUGUGUGUGAAUCCUACAGGGGCCAGUUGUGCCUGUCGACGGCCUGCCAGAGGCCGCGCGCCGAUGCUGGGAAGUACUAACGGACUGAGACGCUUCUGCUCAUGAUUACUUCAGAUUAAACAAAGACAUUUCACCUAAAAAGGCAUGAAGAAAGAUUCAACUGCAACCCUACAGGAAAUGUUAAAGGGACAUUUUGCUAAAACUAAUCUGAAAGACUGUGUGCUUACUUUUCAAUUCCCUGGAAACUGUAAAACAGAACAAGAAACUGCCGUUUCACACCAACACCCACAAAGAAACUGUUUAGAUCAAGACUUUGAAGUUGAAACUCUACCGGCCACAGCCUACGCCGGUGGUGGCAUUCCUCCUGAAAAUGAACACAAUGUGCCAAAGACAGAAAAUAACAAGGGAAGACCACAACAUGUGUACGUGGAAGUUGUUUGGCGGUGAAAUCGUGAGAAUGCAAAUAGACUUCCACUUCCAAACCGCCCCAAAAGCCGAGUUUCAACAAAUCCGAGAGAGGAAGAGAUGGAGGACUAAAACACUUUUUGUGGUUGUGUCUUUUGUUGAGGUCUGUUUGUCUGAUUCUAAGAGAACAAUAUUAGACUUGUAUAAAGUCUGACACACAGCUGUACUGUGGGGUGACGUGUUCAGGUUAGUGGGCCUCGGUGGAGCAGGGGGUGGAAAUGAUUUCAGACAAAGUGAGGUAACUUUUACAAUCAGCCGAGCAGCAGACUGAGUCCAAUUUCUGGCUCUCUGAACAGAAAUGUAUCCCGAUUUUCCAACACACAGAGAAGAAAAUCCCAGUUCAGGUGUUUGUCGUAUGGUCUCACAGGGAACUAACUUGGCUAAAAAUUCUGUAAAGGUCCAACAGCAAUAUCUAUUGCUGGAAAGUUAUAGAAAAAACAAAAAUACCAACUUUUUUUGUCCGUUUCCAUUGUAAAAGCCAUUCAACCCAGAACGAAGCCACGUCGGGCGUUUGGGUUUAACCUCGUCUGCCCAGUGAAAAUCCAACUGGUACAGCGUUUUAACACAACUGCUCAAACAUUGCGUCAAUAAUUAUAACAUUACUUAAUCUCAUGAGACAUUAUGCAAAUACUCAGUUUACACUGAGGAAGAUUCAGUCACCUAUGCAUUCUAGGGAGUGAUUAAAACUCAAAGGGAAACUGAUGGCAUGACCAAUUUUCUGAUUACGUCCGAUUAUUAUUCGAGCACUUCUGGGCGCUAAAAAGGUCAUUUGUUUAUUUAUACCUGAACAACAAGCUUAAAUUGUAAAAGUAAAUAGAAAGUGACGUCACAGUAAAGCAAUGUACAAAUUCCUGACACAGAAGAAAACUGAUUUUUAUCCCAUUGUACGUGCAAUAUUCAGGAAGGGAGGACACAACACUUCAAAGAUGCGACAGGUUUUAAAGUUCCAAUAAAUCACCUUAUUUUUUUAUGUUUG